GACGUAGGGCGCAAGCGUUGUCCGGAUUUAUUGGGCGUAAAGGGCUCGUAGGCGGCCUGUCGCGUCGAUCGUGAAAACUGGGGGCUUAACUUCCAGCUUGCGGUCGAUACGGGCAGGCUUGAGGUAGGUAGGGGAGAUCGGAAUUCCACGUGUAGCGGUGAAAUGCGCAGAUAUGUGGAGGAACACCGGUGGCGAAGGCGGAUCUCUGGGCCUAUCCUGACGCUGAUGAGCGAAAGCGUGGGGAGCGAACAGG
rnacentral:rRNA from 1 species